GGGGCUGAAGCUCAGUGGUAGAGCACCCGCCUUACACGUGUGAGGCACUGGGUUCAAUCCUCAACACCA
rfam:Ictidomys tridecemlineatus contig022615, whole genome shotgun sequence.